UAACGCAGUGCCUGUUCAGACUGAUUCAUUAGAGACUGAUUCAUUAGAGACUGAUUCAUUAGAGCUAGACUCAUAACGCAGUGCCUGUUCAGACUGAUUCAUUAGAGACUGAUUCAUUAGAGACUGAUUCAUUAGAGCUAGACUCAUAACACAGUGCCUGUUCAGACUGAUUCAUUAGAGACUGAUUCAUUAGAGACUGAUUCAUUAGAGCUAGACUCAUAACACAGUGCCUGUUCAGACUGAUUCAUUAGAGACUGAUUCAUUAGAGACUGAUUCAUUAGAGACUGAUUCAUUAGAGACUGAUUCAUUAGAGACUGAUUCAUUAGAGCUAGACUCAUAACACAGUGCCUGUUCAGACUGAUUCAUUAGAGACUGAUUCAUUAGAGACUGAUUCAUUAGAGACUGAUUCAUUAGAGCUAGACUCAUAACGCAGUGCCUGUUCAGACUGAUUCAUUAGAGACUGAUUCAUUAGAGACUGAUUCAUUAGAGACUGAUUCAUUAGAGACUGAUUCAUUAGAGCUAGACUCAUAACGCAGUGCCUGUUCAGACUGAUUCAUUAGAGACUGAUUCAUUAGAGACUGAUUCAUUAGAGCUAGACUCAUAACGCAGUGCCUGUUCAGACUGAUUCAUUAGAGACUGAUUCAUUAGAGACUGAUUCAUUAGAGCUAGACUCAUAACGCAGUGCCUGUUCAGACUGAUUCAUUAGAGACUGAUUCAUUAGAGACUGAUUCAUUAGAGCUAGACUCAUAACGCAGUGCCUGUUCAGACUGAUUCAUUAGAGACUGAUUCAUUAGAGACUGAUUCAUUAGAGACUGAUUCAUUAGAGACUGAUUCAUUAGAGACUGAUUCAUUAGAGACUGAUUCAUUAGAGACUGAUUCAUUAGAGACUGAUUCAUUAGAGACUGAUUCAUUAGAGACUGACUCAUAACACAGUGCCUGUUCAGAUUGAUUCAUUCAUUAGACUGUUUUGUUUGAAACAACAUGUUUAUGCCAGGGUUGGCGUCAAUUCAGGAAGUUAACUGAGAUUUCGAUUCAAAAUCCUAUUCUCUUUAUUGCUUUUCAAUGAGGAAAAUGUGGAAUUGGAAUUUGGUUUACUUUCUGAAUUGACUGAUAUUGAAAUGGAAUUGACCUCCCCUGCUUUCUGCUAAUCCUAAAACAUGGUUUAUGGUUAGCAGAAAGAGAGAGUACCGAGUCGUGCCUAAUGCUUUGAGUACUGACUUGUUUCGGGGCUUAAUGGUUUGAGUACUGAGUAGUGACUUGUUUCAGGGCUUAAUGCUUUGAGUACUGAGUAGUGACUUGUUUCAGGGCUUAAUGCUUUCAGUAGUGACUUGUUUCGGGGCUUAUUGCUUUGACUACUGACUUGUUUCGGGGCUUAAUGCUUUGAGUACUCAGCAGUGACUUGUUUCGGAGCUUAAUGCUUUGAGUAGUGACUUGUUUCGGGGCUUAAUGCUUUGAGUAGUGACUUGUUUCAGGGCUUAAUGCUUUGAGUAGUGACUUGUUUCGGGGCUUAAUCCUUUGAGUACUGAGUAGUGACUUGUUUCAGGGCUUAAUGCUUUGAGUAGUGACUUGUUUCGGGGCUUAAUGCUUUGAGUAGUGACUUGUUUCGGGGCUUAAUGCUUUGAGUAGUGACUUGUUUCGGGGCUUAAUGCUUUGAGUAGUUACUUGUUUCGGGGCUUAAUGCUUUGAGUAGUGACUUGUUUCGGGGCUUAAUGCUUUGAGUACUGAGUAGUGACUUGUUUCAGGGCUUAAUGCUUUGAGUAGUGACUUGUUUCGGGGCUUAAUGCUUUGAGUACUGAGUAGUGACUUGUUUCAGGGCUUAAUGCUUUGAGUAGUGACUUGUUUCGGGGCUUAAUGCUUUGAGUAGUGACUUGUUUCAGGGCUUAAUGCUUUGAGUAGUGACUUGUUUCGGGGCUUAAUGCUUUGAGUACUGAGUAGUGACUUGUUUCAGGGCUUAAUGCUUUGAGUAGUGACUUGUUUCGGGGCUUAAUGCUUUGAGUAGUGACUUGUUUCGGGGCUUAAUGCUUUGAGUACUGAGUAGUGACUUGUUUCAGGGCUUAAUGCUUUGAGUAGUGACUUGUUUCAGGGCUUAAUGCUUUGAGUAGUGACUUGUUUCGGGGCUUAAUGCUUUGAGUAGUGACUUGUUUCGGGGCUUAAUGCUUUGAGUAGUGACUUGUUUCAGGGCUUAAUGCUUUGAGUAGUGACUUGUUUCGGGGCUUAAUGCUUUGAGUAGUGACUUGUUUCGGGGCUUAAUGCUUUGAGUAGUGACUUGUUUCGGGGCUUAAUGCUUUGAGUACUCAGUAGUGACUUGUUUCGGGGCUUAAUGCUUUGAGUACUGAGUAGUGACUUGUUUCGGGGCUUAAUGCUUUGAGUAGUGACUUGUUUCGGGGCUUAAUGCUUUGAGUAGUGACUUGUUUCGGGGCUUAAUGCUUUGAGUACUGAGUAGUGACUUGUUUCGGGGCUUAAUGCUUUGAGUAGUGACUUGUUUCAGGGCUUAAUGCUUUGAGUAGUGACUUGUUUCAGGGCUUAAUGCUUUGAGUAGUGACUUGUUUCAGGGCUUAAUGCUUUGAGCAGUGACUUGUUUCGGGGCUUAAUGCUUUGAGUAGUGACUUGUUUCGGGGCUUAAUGCUUUGAGUAGUGACUUGUUUCGGGGCUUAAUGCUUUGAGUAGUGACUUGUUUCGGGGCUUAAUGCUUUGAGUAGUGACUCGUUUCAGUGCCUUUAUUGUAGAAUGACUUGUUGGUUGGUCUGUAGAUUGUUUUCAGAUGCCACCUCCCCUUCUCUUCAAGCCCAGCUCUCCUAUCUCUCAGAGUUUGUGGACAGGACAGGUUCCUACCCUUUUUAAAAUGUACGUGUGAUCAGGGUGGUUGGCAGGUAGCCAAGGAGCGCUGCAGUUUCCCCCAAGCAACUCGUGUCAAGCAGAUCACACAAUUUACCACGGCCUACAGCAGGACUGGUCUACAGGGUAAUAGUAGUGUGGGUAGGAGCCAGUGUCUGGAGUUAGACCAGAUUAAUAACCCACUGUCUGGAGUUAGACCAGAUUAACAGCGUUAAUAACCCACUGUCUGGAGUUAGACCAGAUAACGGCAUUAAUAACCCAUCUGGAAUUAGACCAGAUUAAUAACCCACUGUCUGGAGUUAGACCAGAUUAACGGCGUUAAUAACCCAUCUGGAAUUAGACCAGAUUAACAGCGUUAAUAACCCACUGUCUGGAGUUAGACCAGAUUAACGGCAUUAAUAACCCACUGUCUGGAGUUAGACCAGAUAACGGCAUUAAUAACCCAUCUGGAAUUAGACCAGAUUAAUAACCCACUGUCUGGAGUUAGACCAGAUUAACGGCGUUAAUAACCCAUCUGGAAUUAGACCAGAUUAACGGCAUUAAUAACCCACUGUCUGGAAUUAGACCAGAUUAACGUCAUUAAUAACCCACUGUCUGGAGUUAGACCAGAUUAAUAACCCACUGUCUGGAAUUAGACCAGAUUAACGUCAUUAAUAACCCACUGUCUGGAGUUAGACCAGAUUAACAACCCACUGUCUGGAGUUAGACCAGAUUAACGGCAUUAAUAACCCACUUCUGGAAUUAGACCAGAUUAACAACCCACUGUCUGGAGUUAGACCAGAUUAACGUCAUUAAUAACCCACUGUCUGGAGUUAGACCAGAUUAACGGCAUUAAUAUCCCACUGUCUGGAGUUAGACCAGAUUAACGUCAUUAAUAACCCACUGUCUGGGGUUAGACCAGAUUAAUAACUCACUGUCUGGAGUUAGACCAGAUUAACAACUCACUGUCUGGGGUUAGACCAGAUUAAUAUCCCACUGUCUGGAGUUAGACCAGAUUAACGACAUUAAUAACCCACUGUCUGGAGUUAGACCAGAUUAACGUCAUUAAUAUGCCUCUGUCUGGAGUUAGACCUUAGACCAGAUUAACAACCCACUGUCUGGAGUUAGACCAGAUUAACGGCGUUAAUAACCCAUCUGGAAUUAGACCAGAUUAACAACCCACUGUCUGGAGUUAGACCAGAUUAACGGCAUUAACAACCCACUGUCUGGAGUUAGACCAGAUUAACGUCAUUAAUAACCCACUGUCUGGGGUUAGACCAGAUUAACGGCAUUAAUAACCCACUGUCUGGAGUUAGACCAGAUUAACGUCAUUAAUAACCCACUGUCUGGAGUUAGACCAGAUUAACGGCGUUAAUAACCCACUGUCUGGAGUUAGACCAGAUUAACGUCAUUAAUAACCCACUGUCUGGAGUUAGACCAGAUUAACGCCAUUAACAACCCACUGUCUGGGGUUAGACCAGAUUAACAUCAUUAAUAACCCAGUGUCUGGAGUUAGACCAGAUUAACGUCAUUAAAAACCCACUGUCUGGAAUUAGACCAGAUUAACGUCAUUAAUAACCCACUGUCUGGAGUAAAACCAGAUUAACGUCAUUAAUAACCCACUGUCUGGGGUUAGACCAGAUUAACGUCAUUAAUAACCCACUGUCUGGAGUUAGACCAGAUUAACGCCAUUAACAACCCACUGUCUGGGGUUAGACCAGAUUAACAUCAUUAAUAACCCAGUGUCUGGAGUUAGACCAGAUUAACGCCAUUAACAACCCACUGUCUGGGGUUAGACCAGAUUAACAUCAUUAAUAACCCAGUGUCUGGAGUUAGACCAGAUUAACGUCAUUAAUAACCCACUGUCUGGAGUUAGACCAGAUUAAUAACCCACUGUCUGGGGUUAGACCAGAUUAACGUCAUUAAUAACCCACUGUCUGGAGUUAGACCAGAUUAAUAACCCACUGUCUGGAGUUAGACCAGAUUAAUAACCCACUGUCUGGAGUUAGACCAGAUUAAUAACCCACUGUCUGGAGUUAGACCAGAUUAACGUCAUUAACAACCCACUGUCUGGAGUUAGACCAGAUUAAUAACCCACUGUCUGGGGUUACACCAGAUUAACGGCGUUAAUAACCCACUGUCUGGAGUUAGACCAGAUUAACGUCAUUAAAAACCCACUUCACAUAAAAUAGUGUCUGUUUUGCACUGAAUUUUAAAACAACCCAUUUAUCAAACGGAUAGCGUUAGAAAUUAGUCUGCACUGCUUCCGUGAUAAUGAAUGACAAAUUAGCAUGCUGUUAUUGAUAUGCUAUUAUGGACCACCACCAUGACUGGUAACAUGAACGACCUGAAUGUUUAGGCUUCUGACACAUUUACCUGUCCUGGAAUGACUGCAGCCUUGUAUCGUACUGUGAUGACCUGGGAUGUGUUCAUUAGGGACGAAACAGAAGAAACCUGAUUUAAAACUACCUGCACUAGUAGUCCAAUAACAAACACUAAUGUAUAUUUUCCCUGUUGUUAAAACAUUUUUUGCUACGGUGUGGCCUACUGAACACUAACCCUUCUUUUUUUAAGAGGUCAAAUGGCACAUAGGGGUUGAAAGUAGUGCACUUUUUUAUUAGUGGAUAGGUUGCCAGUUGGGACACUGGUCCCUGUGUGUGUGUCUGGCAGGGAUGUUACGGUUACAGAAGGCUGUGUCACAAAGGGCAUCCUAUUCUCUAUGUAAUACACUGCUUUGGAUCAGGCUAGCUUUAGCUUUGGAUCAGGCUAGCUUUAGCUUUGGAGCAGGCUAGCUUUAGCUUUGGAGCAGGCUAGCUUUAGCUUUGGAUCAGGCUAGCUUUAGCUUUUUAGCAGGCUAGCUUUAGCUUUGGAGCAGGCUAGCUUUAGCUUUGGAUCAGGCUAGCUUUAGCUUUGGAGCAGGCUAGCUUUAGCUUUGGAUCAGGCUAGCUUUAGCUUUGGAUCAGGCUAGCUUUAGCUUUGGAUCAGGCUAGCUUUAGCUUUGGAGCAGGCUAGCUUUAGCUUUGGAUCAGGCUAGCUUUAGCUUUGGAGCAGGCUAGCUUUAGCUUUGGAACAGGCUAGCUUUGCUCGGUUUAUGUAGUCCCCUUAACUAUUGCUGUUGUGUGAUUUUUUUUUUUUAAUGUCAAUGAUCUUUCACUUUAUGCGUCCUCGGCACCACUGUUUUUAUUUUUUCAUUCAUGCUGUACUGUGAUUUUGUUGUUGUUGUUGUUAUUUGUUUUGUUUAUAAUGAAACUGUUCUCUCU
rnacentral:lncRNA from 1 species